rnacentral:rRNA from 1 species
UGGGGAAUAUUGGACAAUGGGGGGAACCCUGAUCCAGCCAUGCCGCGUGUGUGAAGAAGGCCUUUUGGUUGUAAAGCACUUUAAGCGAGGAGGAGGCUUACUUAGUUAAUACCUGAGAUAAGUGGACGUUACUCGCAGAAUAAGCACCGGCUAACUCUGUGCCAGCAGCCGCGGUAAUACAGAGGGUGCGAGCGUUAAUCGGAUUUACUGGGCGUAAAGCGUGCGUAGGCGGCUUCGUAAGUUGGAUGUGAAAUCCCCGAGCUUAACUUGGGAAUUGCAUUCAAAACUGCGAGGCUAGAGUAUGGGAGAGGAUGGUAGAAUUCCAGGUGUAGCGGUGAAAUGCGUAGAGAUCUGGAGGAAUACCGAUGGCGAAGGCAGCCAUCUGGCCUAAUACUGACGC